rnacentral:rRNA from 1 species
GUUUGAUCAUGGCUCAGAUUGAACGCUGGCGGUAGGCUUAACACAUGCAAGUCGUGCGAGAAAGUAUCUUCGGAUAUGAGUAGAGCGGCGGACGGGUGAGUAACGCGUAAGAAUCUACCUAGUAGAAGGGGAUAGCCCGGGGAAACUCGGAUUAAUACCGUAUACCUCCUUCGGGAGAAAGAAGGCCUCUCUUUGAAGCUUUCGCUAUUAGAUGAGCCUGCGUAAGAUUAGCUUGUUGGUGAGGUAAAGGCUCACCAAGGCUACAAUCUUUAGCUGGUCUGAGAGGACUAUCACCCACAUUGGGACUGAGACACGGCCCAGACUCCUUCGGGAGGCACCAGUGGGGAAUAUUGGACAAUGGGCGCAAGCUUGAUCCA